rnacentral:misc_RNA from 1 species
GAUGAAGAACGUAGCGAAAUGCGAUAAGUAAUGCGAAUUGCAGAAUUCAGCGAGUCAUCGAAUCUUUGAACGCACAUUGCGCCCCCUGGUAUUCCGGGGGGCAUGCCUGUUCGAGCGUCAUUUCACCACUCAAGCCUCGCUUGGUAUUGGGCAACGCGGUCCGCCGCGUGCCUCAAAUCGACCGGCUGGGUCUUCUGUCCCCUAAGCGUUGUGGAAACUAUUCGCUAAAGGGUGUUCGGAAGGCUACGCCGUAAAACAACCCCAUUUCUAAGGUUGACCUCGGAUCAGGUAGGGAUACCCGCUGAACUUAAGCAUAUCAAUAAGCGGAGGA